rnacentral:rRNA from 1 species
AUUGAACGCUGGCGGCAUGCCUUACACAUGCAAGUCGAACGGCAGCACGGGUGCUUGCACCUGGUGGCGAGUGGCGAACGGGUGAGUAAUAUAUCGGAACGUACCUUAUUGUGGGGGAUAACGCAGCGAAAGCUGUGCUAAUACCGCAUAAUCCCUAAGGGGGAAAGCGGGGGACCGUAAGGCCGCGCGCAAGUAGAGCGGCCGAUACCUGAUUAGCUAGUGGGUGAGGUAAAGGCCCACCAAGGCAACGAUCAGUAGCUGGUCUGAGAGGACGAUCAGCCACACUGGGACUGAGACACGGCCCAGACUCCUACGGGAGGCAGCAGUGGGGAAUUUUGGACAAUGGGGGCAACCCUGAUCCAGCAAUGCCGCGUGAGUAAAGAAGGCCUUCGGGUUGUAAAGCUCUUUUGUCAGGGAAGAAACAGCAGCUCUAACACAGUAUGCGAAUGACGGUACCUGAAGAAUAAGCACCGGCUAACUACGUGCCAGCCGCCGCCGUAA